AUGCCAGCCGAGGUUUCGUAUAUGAGGAUGAACUACACACCUUUCACUUUUGUUUUCUGUGCAGAACAGCCACAAGAGCAAACCACAGACCGGUUCACGGAAGAUCCUGCCGGUGAGAUUAUGAAACACACACACACACACACACACACACACACGCACACACACACACGCGCACACACACGCACACACGCGCACACACACGCACACGCACACACAGAUCAUGCAGUUUUUAUUUCUCAGGCAAGUCAUUGUCGCUUUGCAUCGACAGAGUCUUACUCGAGGUUCAUGAUGAUGGUGGCUUUGAUGUGUGUUGGCGCUCUGUUUUUCGUGUGUUUGUUCGGUCUGAUUCAAGUCCUCAAGCACAACAGCCGCAGUAAUUCAGGUUUUGUUCUCCACCGCACCAGGACUUUAUCAAACCCAGUGACGGAUGGCCACCAGAGAACACACCGUGACCUUCCAGACGUACCCAAAGUUCAAAGUGAAAAAGAGGAACGUUAUAGACCCACAGUCCCAGAUUAUAUAAACACAGAACCGGCUGACUACACUGAUGUUGUUUCAGCACAAACAAAAGAUCAGAUCUACACAGACCUGGACAGCAAUAGACAGAGUCAAGUGUAUCAGAGUCUCACAGCUGAUUCUGUUCAAGAGUCGAUCUAUCACACUAUUGAUCAGACGAGAGACUGA
ensembl:lncRNA